rnacentral:rRNA from 1 species
UACAGAGGUCUCAAGCGUUGUUCGGAUUCAUUGGGCGUAAAGGGUGCGUAGGCGGUGAGGUAAGUUGGAUGUGAAAUCCCAGGGCUUAACCCUGGAACUGCAUUCAAUACUGCCUUGCUAGAGUACUGGAGAGGAGAUUGGAAUUCACGGUGUAGCAGUGAAAUGCGUAGAUAUCGUGAGGAAGACCAGUGGCGAAGGCGAAUCUCUGGACAGUUACUGACGCUGAGGCACGAAGGCUAGGGGAGCAAACGGG